UACAAAUCGGUUCUUAAAAACGUAUCUU
rnacentral:piRNA from 1 species